UACGUAGGGGGCAAGCGUUGUUCGGAAUUACUGGGCAUAAAGGGUGCGUAGGUGGUUUGGUAAGUCAGUGGUGAAAUCGUCCGGCCCAACCGGACACGUGCCAAUGAUACUGCCGAACUCGAGUGCGUGAGGGGUGGGGGGAACGAGCAGUGUAGCGGUGAAAUGCGUAGAUAUUGCUCGGAAGGCCAAAGCCGAAGGGACCCCACUGGUACGUAACUGACACUGAGGCACGAAAGCGUGGGGAGCAAACAGG
rnacentral:rRNA from 1 species